GGGAAAGCAUUCAGGUAGUGACUUUGAAAUCCAAUAUGGACAUGUGGUAACCUGCCAAGAACCCAUCACUGUCAAACGUCUGUUGCAAAGGAGGAAGUGGCAAAGGAGCAGAACAAGGUGACAUGACCCCAAAUUAUAAUUCCAGGGAUUCAAAGCAGCUAAUGGCACAACACAAUACAAUAGAGACCCAAAGAGGCUAACAAUGGAUGUGGAAGGAGGCUGCAAAACAAGGGAUGGAAAAUCGCAUGAGCUCAGCUUGUGGAAGGCACGAAAGCAAGUAUGUUAACUACAUUCCCAGUGAAUGAAGGCACUAUCUGCUCACCCGUCUCUGUCCCCUGGAUGCUGACAGAUCUAGUCCCAGGACAGCCAACCUGUCACAUAAUAGAAAAAAACAGCAUAUAAAGGAAUUGUUUAGUAGGCCUGUGUGAUCAAUGAAAAAAGUUUCAAUACUCAUUACUAAAUUAGGGUGGGGGAGGGGUGUUUCUAAAAUAUCAUAAGAGGUCUGUAUCAUAACUAUAACAAUAUAGCAAUUUUUCAUUAUUUUUUCAGUAAAUAAUUGUGUCAAUCAAGAAACUUUAGGGACUCCUUUCUCCCUCAUUGUUACAUUGUUACCACUGUUACCCCAAAAUUUCAAAACAUUUCACCCAUCUACUGAUUUUGGGGAGAAUUUAAAUUAUUUUACAAACAAUAUUUUAAAAUACUACAAGAGCUAUCUGCUUGCUUUUGUCUACAAUGACACAAGAUAACCAGAGCACACCCCCUCCGAGUUUCAAAAAUAUUCACACAACUACUGAAUUUUGGAAAAAAUUCAAAUUGUUGACAAAAACAAAAAAAAUCUAGUUUUGACAAUAACUUCAGAGCUGGAAAUGAAAGGAGAAGCCUUUGCCUCUGACUGUAUAUGUGAUGCCUAGGGCAUCUUGGACCCAGGACCCUGUGCCAUUUCCUGACCAGGAAGAAGAUGAUUUGGGUUUUCUCCCAAGCCAGCAAGUUUCGACACCCUUCCAGAUGCCUCAUGUUGACAUUUCCGAGCCAGAGCCAAUUAAGGAUGCCCUUGAAACAAUGCCGGCUCUCCCAGAUUCUCCGGAAAACUUGGCGUUUGAUAGAAGGGCAUUUGUGUAUUCAGACAGGUCAAAUAGUCAGAGCCUCCGGAGGAGCGCCAGAUUAUCGGAGCGUGGUGAUUAUGGUUAAGCCCAGUUCUCUUGGGAAGAAUUGGGGAGUUAGGCCCCUGGGGUAAUAACUGUAACAAGCUCAGUUCUAUUGGGAAGUUUUAGGGAGUUAAGCACCUGCUUGGGGGAGCUUAUGAACUUCAAUAAAAGUGUUGUAUUGGGAGCUUGCCUUUGCGGUGACAACUUUACAUCUCACUGAGAAACAUCAUCGUCUCCAGCUCCUGGUUUCCAAGCGGCGUGAUGGUGCGCUUACUCUCGAGUAGACCGGGUGCUGGUCUACCUCCUUGCCAAGUUUGGACUGCGUUUCAGCUCCAGAACUCCUAGUUCAUGCCUUGCCCUGAAAUCCUGUCUUUGGACAUUAAUCAAGAGAACUUUUCUUGCUACUUGCUCUUUUUCCCCACUCAUACUCAGGUGGAGUUUGAGUGUGUUUCGGUUUCUGGAUUUUGAACUCUAAUACUGGACAUAAGACUUAUACUUAUUGGACAAAAACUGAUCUUUCCUGAAAGGUCAAUUGCUUCUUCAACUUUGCUGCUAAAUUCCUUUUGGAACCUUAUUUGCUUUAAUAAAGAUAUUAUAUUGUUAUUGGUCUUUGUUUUGAUUUCCGGUGCUCCAGCUGCCUCGGGCGUAACAGUAUAUUUGUGUUUCACAGUAUUUUCAUUGUAACAGGGUUUUGAAUAUUUGCUUGUGUUUGUUUAUAUGUUGUAAUCUGCUCUAGUCCUCUCGGGGUCAGACUUCACCUGGAAUAAUCCUGUCUUCAGUUCUGGGUGCCACAGUUCAAUAAGGAUAUUAACAAGCCUGAAGGUGUUCAGAGAAGAGCAACCCAAAUGAUCAAAGGUUUGGAAGCCAUGUCCUAUAAGGAGCAACUGAGUGAACUGGAUAUGUUUAACUUGGAAAAGAGGGGACAUGAUAUUCAUGUUUAAGUAUUGUUAAUAUUGGAAACGAUGAGGUGGGGGCAGAUUUGUUUUCUGCUGCUCUAGAGACUAUUGUGUAUAUUUUAUUAUUGGUUUUUGUUCUUGUCCUUUGAUGUUUUAUAUUUUUUCAUUGCUUGUAUUUUGACUUUGCUGUAAGCUG